rnacentral:rRNA from 1 species
UACGGAGGGUGCAAGCGUUGCUCGGAAUUAUUGGGCGUAAAGGGUAGGUAGGUGGUCUGAUUUGUCUGGGGUGAAAGCCUUGAGCUUAACUCAAGAAGUGCCCUGGAGACGGUCAGACUAGAGUUCUGGAGAGGGUCGCGGAAUUCCCGGUGUAGCGGUGAAAUGCGUAGAGAUCGGGAGGAACACCAGAGGCGAAGGCGGCGACCUGGACAGACACUGACACUCAACUACGAAAGCGUGGGGAGCAAACAGG